rnacentral:lncRNA from 1 species
UUCUUGAUUCUUUUCUUUCUCUUACUCAAUAUCUAAUUCAUCAGCAAACCCUUCAGAAUAUUUCCAGAACCCAACCACUUAUCACCUUCACUAACACCAUGGCUUAAGCCACUAUACCUUUUACUUGGAUGGAUGCAAUGUCCUCCUACAUGGUCCUGCUACGUCUUCCAUUGCUCACCAUCUCAAGAGAGAAGGUGGCAACACAGCCGUCACACUACUGGUUUUGAAAUGCGAGUCAGGUCAUAUCACUCUUGCUCUGAACCAUCUUGCUCUUGGUAAAAGCCCUGACAAUGACCUCUAAGACUUGUGGGACAGUGUCAUCUCUCUGACUUCAUCUGCCACAUUCUCCUCUUUACUCACUUGACCUCCUGGCUCUCCCUUAAGUGUGCCAAGCACAUGGUUUGACCCCAGGACCUUUGCAACUGCUUUCCAUUUGUCUGAAAAGCCCUUUACAAUGAAAACUCUGAGGUUCACUCCCCUGUUUUCUUUAAGCCUUUGAUCAACUUUCACCUUUUCAUAGAAACUUUUCCUGUCCACCCUAUAACAAGUAGCAAGUAGCAACCCCACACCCACCCUAUCAUCCUCUACCUCACUUAAUCUGUCUCAUUUUUCUCCAGGACACUGCCUGAAGUAUCUGACAUGAAAUAUAUUUACUGAUGUCCUAUCUAUUUCCUCUCAUCAACAUGUAAGCUUCAUGAGGGCAUAGACUUUGUGCUGUUAACUUCUGUAUCCUUGGUAUAGGGUUUCCACUCAAUAAAUAUCCAUGCAUGAAUAAACCAUCUGCUCCUACACUAUAGGCCAAAUCUCCCAAAAGGAAGAGUUUCAGUAAAAAAAAAAAAAAAAAAAAAAAAAAAUCGGUUCUCUAUUCUAAACUUUAACAAAUUUCUAAAUAACAAGAGUAGGACUCGCUUUCCACAGUCAUCUCUGAUUUAAGAAUUGUCCUUGGGUUUAUUGUUAUUUUUAAUAAUUAAGAAAAAAUUACCUUGAGUCUUAAUGGCUCUCUUGCUGUUACCUAACUCCUAACUCCCUUGUGGGUGGAGCAGAAUUUAUAAAGACUCUGAAUAUUUGGGAGGAUUACUUAACCUUUUUUUUAGCCUUUCUGGUUUGCUCAGAACAUAUGCUCUAUCACCUCUCAAUCACAUUUUAUAGCUUAAAAGAUCUUGUCUGAGUCAGUAAAUUCCAAGUUAAUAUGUGUAAGACUAGGGAUUAAAUCCAUCUGUAAAAGUGCCUGUUUGUAAUCUACUCCGCCAAUUUCCUUCCUGAAGUAAAUAGUAAUCAGAUUAGAAACCUAGUGUUUUUACUGGGGAUGGAAAGAUACCAUUUUAUUUAAAAGUGUUUCUCUCUCAGAGGUGACCUAACUUUGUGAUCCAGAAUCAUUCCAAAAAAAAAAAAAAAGUUUCAGCUGACUCUAUUCCCCAGAUGUAUUUUGUUUUCCACAGCUCCCUUUGCCGUCCCAAUUUAAGAAAAUGUAAUCAUAAUGGGUCUAAGCCUCUUCUAUUCAGAACAUUUUUGACUGGAGAAUGGAAAUCGUUGGAGAGGAGCUACCCUAACGGUUUGCAGACAAAUUUUUGAGGAAUUAAGGUGCAGUGCUUACCAAGGUCUAUGGAAGGAAGUCUGUGCCUCUUUCUAAAAUCUGUCUGUCACCACUUUUUUCUGAACAAUCAAUAGCAGCCCAGCUUCUCCUUCCGCCUGAGCUCUCAGGGAACAGCAAACAAGUCUCUUAUGGAAUAAACUAGAGCACCUGGGUAUUGGUGCCACCAUCUCUUCACCCCUAAACCAUUCGACCCCAACUUCUCCUUUCACUGCUUUUGAAUUUUUCUCAGCUCAGCAAAGAGAGUUUUUCAGAAUAAAGCUUUUUGUCUGCUUAUCACAGAGUCUGUUUCCUGGUUCACUUUCUCAUCUGAAUAAAGAGACAAUGUUAAUGAUUUUAAAAAUAACGUACAAAGGAUCAUUGGGUAAGAUAUUUAGAAAGUCUGUGGUCUUCAGGCCAAGGGGAGUGGAGGAGAGUGUCACAUCGCCAGCAUGUGCAGACUCUAAUGCAAGCAUCCCCUGUCACACAGGGCUUGUGCCUGGAGACGAUAAAAAGAGAGAUGAUAACAACCACACCAUGCCUCUGCACACACGACAGGCACCAUGACCAAAGUCCUGGGGCACAUUCUCAUGGAGGAGGCCUAAAGGUCCAGAGCACAGCCCUGUCCACUGUUAAACCACAGAUCAUCAUUGGGGUCAGGCCCGACCAGCUUUCCCAGCACUUGACCUUGAGGUGAAACAUCUGGGAAUAAGGUCCUGCUUAUUUGCUUAUCAGUCUCCUUUUAAAAGGUCUCCAUCUUUCCCAGGUAAGAAAUAAUGAGAAAACCAUGAGAAGUUACCCACGGUUUCCUUUAAUGCUCUCAGGGUUUAGGUAAUAACGCAGCUUAAGGAAGCCAUCCCUCCUUUUGGGAAAGGAGGUGAAGAGGGAGGUGAAUCCAAGAAGAGGAACCAGAAGAGUGGUCAAGAAGGCUGAGAGGCAAGGACAGGCAUUUCCAAGUAAGGAACCUGGAAGGCUCAAUGAUAAAAGCCACCUUGCGGUGGCUAAAAAAGUAAGUAUUUUGGUCUAUUUCCUGUGAUCGCCAUCAUUCUUCUUGUUCGGUGCCAGUCACUAAACAUGGUUUUGGAAGCAUGGCUGCCAGGAAGGGAACAAGAACAAGUGUCUCAAAGAAGAGCUUGGUCCGGAGGAGAGAAUAAGCCCCAAAGACCAUCAGGGUUAACAGGAAUAUGCUGACUCUAUUCAUUCUUUGUGAAUUUCCACACCAGACUCUGCCAGUAGGAUGUCUGUUGGUGAUGAUCAGAUAGAUGGCCCCAUGAUGUAUUGAAGAAAAUGAAAAGAAACAAAGGAAACCAGAGAACGAUGAUAAUGGUCCCAGAAGAUCAUGAUUUUGUUCUUGGUUUCCUUCAUCUUUCCACCUGCCAGGCCUUUCCCCAACAGGGCCAUUUUCCUGCAGGCUAUUCUUCCAUGUCAGCUGCAGAAAGCAAGAGGCCAAGGAGAAGUGUGAGUUGACUAGGUGCUGAAUGGACAAGCCUGGGCUGAGAAGAAGUCAAAAGCUCACUAUCAGAGGAAACGACAUCCUGCCUCUCUCAGUGAGAAGGCGUUAAACUCACGUGGCAGCUGCUGCCCAGCAGAGUCCUGGGCUCUGAAAUAGACUCUACCUUCUUCUGCUUUUCCACGGGACCACCAGUGCCCACGUCCAAGAAAAUCUACUCCAAAGGAGAAGGUCCCCUCAUUUCAUGUGCGCUCUCAGCUUAGCAACUCCAAUCUUGCACAGACAUGGAUUUUCUUUGUAAAACUUUGCCCUCAUCAUGCUCCCUAUCUUUCCCCGUGAGCUAGCUAUGCUGCAAGGCUGGCUUUUUCAUUUCUAUGGAACCUUUAAUACUAAGCACAAGGCCUCUGUAGUUUUGAUGAAAUGAUUCUGCUAAGCUGCAGGAUAACAGGGAUGCUCUAAUAUGCUUCAGCUGUCAGCCCUGUUACUCAAGAAGCAGCAUCAAGGACCCAGUAUCUGCAACAACAUUUCUGUGAAGGAUGGAGUCCCUGUGGCGUCAGGACAGAACAGCCCUAUCCCUCUCCCUCAGCUUCCUGUGAUGCCAUCAUGAUUUCAGGUAGUGUUUGGGAAGGCAGAAAGGAUACUUGUAAUUAGCUUGAUUCUACACUUUGAGCUUAAGGAGGGCUUCAGUACCUUCCUCUACAUCAUGUGUACCUGGGAAUAAAACUCACCUCCUCUCACAGCCCCUAUUCUUUUCUGGAGCCAGGGUCCUGAGCCAGGCUCUGGGAAUGACCACAUUGGAACUGAAGGUACAGAAGACACCUUCCCCCCACUCAGCCCAGCUAUUUAAGGACUCUUCCAACUUCCUACCCCCACUUCUAUCUUUUCUCAGGGGCAAGAUGAAUUGAUGAAAUGAAAAAAAUUUUCUACAUUGAACUAGUACACAAUGCUCUUUCACUGCCCCUGGUAUAAGAAGAACGAUCUGUAUGUGAACCAAAAUCUGUUCUUCGGCAUAAACUAAAGACAUGGAUUUAGGCCUGAGAAGAAGUCAAGAGCUGCUAUCAGAGGAAACUACAUCCUGCCUGUCUCCGUGAGAAGAAAGGCUGAUGACUACUUCCUGAUCUUGAACUAUUCACCAGUGAACAGGUGGACUGCAAAAGAAGAUGGGUGCAGAAUUCCCUGGCUCUUGGGUGCUUAAAGGUUUCACUGUUAUAGUCUUAGGGCAAAAUUAUGGUUUCAUAAGAAUUCUCAGGAGAACUUCAUUAGUCUUUGCAACAUCCAUGCCUCCCUUCCUCUGGGCUUGGUUAUUUAUUAUGAUCCUGAGGGAUCUAAACACUUCCUUCUGAAACCCACUGUAUAUGUGAACCUCCUUAUAUUUUGACUUAGGCUCCCAGAACUAACUCACACCUAACCACUGGCAUCAAGCUUGCUGUGUUUGAACUUGACCAAAUUACCCAGAAGCUAAAAGGCUUUCCCUUGAGGUUGCCCUUCUCACCAUGGGCUGAUGAGAACUGCUGACACCUUCAGACUAUCAUGUCUUCCUCCACAGAUUCUUGAAGGCUCCCUUCCCCAUGGAACACUCGGGAAGAAAUCCUCUGUCUCGGUUUUUCUUGAGCUCUUUAUUUGAGUGGGUUACAUGCUACAUAAAAAGGUUUUAAUGAUAAAAAAUUAUUCACAAUGUGUCACCCCACAAAAUUCAAAACCAUUUUUGUUAUUUAGUUUUCAACUCUUCUUCAUUACAGAAACUUUUCUACUACCCCUUUCUCAGUUUUAAGUUCUUUUUCUUCUGCCUUUGACUUGUCUCUUAGACUCCUGUGGAGUGUGUGUGUGUGUGUGUGUGUGUGUGUGUGUGUGUGUGUGUGUGUGU